rnacentral:rRNA from 1 species
AGACUUUGAUCCUGGCUCAGGAUGAACGCUGGUGGCGUGUUUAACACAUGUAAGUCGAGUGGAGUUUAAGUGGAAGAAGUUUUUGGGCAGAUGAAGCUUAAACUUAGUGGUGGACGGGUGAGUAACGCGUGGGCAACCAACCUUGAUCAGGGGGACAACAUUGGGAAACCAGUGCUAAUACCGCAUGACUCUACCGGGUGGCAUCACCGGGUAGAGAAAGAUUUAUCGGAUCAAGACGGGCCCGCGUCUGAUUAGCUAGUUGGUGGGGUAAAGGCCCACUAAGGCAAUGAUCAGUAGCCGACCUGAGAGGGUGACCGGCCACACUGGAACUGAGACACGGUCCAGAUUCUUACGGGAGGUAGCAGUGGGGAAUAUUGCACAAUGGGUGCAAGCCUGAUGCAGCAAUGCCGCGUGAGUGAAGAAGGCCUUCGGGUUGUAAAGUUCUGUCCUAUGGGAAGAAGAAGUGACGGUACCAUAGGAGGAAGCCCCGGCGUA